UACGUAGGUGGCAAGCGUUGUCCGGAAUUAUUGGGCGUAAAGCGCGCGCAGGCGGUCCUUUAAGUCUGAUGUGAAAGCCCACGGCUCAACCGUGGAGGUCAUUGGAACUGGGGACUUGAGAUGCAGAAGGAAGGAAAGCGGAAUUCCACGUGUAGCGGAUGAAAUGCGUAGAGAUGUGGAGGAACACCAGUGGCGAAGGCGGCUUUCUGGUCUGUAACUGACGCUGAGGCGCGAAAGCGUGGGGAGCGAACAGG
rnacentral:rRNA from 1 species